rnacentral:rRNA from 1 species
UACGAAGGGGGCUAGCGUUGUUCGGAUUUACUGGGCGUAAAGCGCACGUAGGCGGCUUGUUAAGUCAGAGGUGAAAUCCCAGGGCUCAACCCUGGAACUGCCUUUGAUACUGGCAGGCUCGAGUAUGGUAGAGGUUGGUGGAACUGCGAGUGUAGAGGUGAAAUUCGUAGAUAUUCGCAAGAACGCCAGUGGCGAAGGCGGCCAACUGGACCAUUACUGACGCUGAGGUGCGAAAGCGUGGGGAGCAAACAGG